rnacentral:rRNA from 1 species
UACGUAGGGUGCGAGCGUUUGUCCGGAAUUAUUGGGCGUAAAGAGCUCGUAGGCGGUUUGUCGCGUCUGCUGUGAAAACUGGAGGCUCAACCUCCAGCCUGCAGUGGGUACGGGCAGACUAGAGUGCGGUAGGGGGAGAUUGGAAUUCCUGGUGUAGCGGUGGAAUGCGCAGAUAUCAGGAGGAACACCGAUGGCGAAGGCAGAUCUCUGGGCCGUAACUGACGCUGAGGAGCGAAAAGCAUGGGGGAGCGAACAGG